GUGCUCACUUUGGCAGCACAUAUACUAAAAUUGGAAUGAUACAGAGAAGAUUAGCAUGGUCCCUGUGCAAGGAUGACACGCAAAUAUAUCAAAGACUAACUCAACAUUC